rnacentral:rRNA from 1 species
UACGUAGGGCGCAAGCGUUAUCCGGAAUUAUUAGGCGUAAAGAGCUCGUAGGCGGUUUGUCGCGUCUGCCGUGAAAGUCCGGGGCUCAACUCCGGAUCUGCGGUGGGUACGGGCAGACUAGAGUGAUGUAGGGGAGACUGGAAUUCCUGGUGUAGCGGUGAAAUGCGCAGAUAUCAGGAGGAACACCGAUGGCGAAGGCGGGUCUCUGGGCCGAUACUGACGCUGAGGAGCGAAAGCGUGGGGAGCGAACAGG